rnacentral:rRNA from 1 species
UACGAAGGGUGCAAACGUUGCUCGGAAUCAUUGGGCGUAAAGCGCACGUAGGCGGCUUCGCAAGUCGGAUGUGAAAUCCCUCGGCUCAACCGAGGACGUGCAUUCGAAACUGCUUGGCUCGAGUAUGGAAGAGGGUCGCGGAAUUCCCGGUGUAGAGGUGAAAUUCGUAGAUAUCGGGAGGAACACCAGUGGCGAAGGCGGCGACCUGGGCCAAUACUGACGCUGAGGUGCGAAAGCGUGGGGAGCAAACAGG